rnacentral:rRNA from 1 species
UUGGAGAGUUUGAUCCUGGCUCAGAUUGAACGCUGGCGGCAGGUCCUAACACAUGCAAGUCGAGCGGAAACGAGUUAUCUGAACCUUCGGGGAACGAUAACGGCGUCGAGCGGCGGACGGGUGAGUAAUGCCUAGGAAAUUGCCCUGAUGUGGGGGAUAACCAUUGGAAACGAUGGCUAAUACCGCAUGAUGCCUACGGGCCAAAGAGGGGGACCUUCGGGCCUCUCGCGUCAGGAUAUGCCUAGGUGGGAUUAGCUAGUUGGUGAGGUAAGGGCUCACCAAGGCGACGAUCCCUAGCUGGUCUGAGAGGAUGAUCAGCCACACUGGAACUGAGACACGGUCCAGACUCCUACGGGAGGCAGCAGUGGGGAAUAUUGCACAAUGGGCGCAAGCCUGAUGCAGCCAUGCCGCGUGUGUGAAGAAGGCCUUCGGGUUGUAAAGCACUUUCAGUCGUGAGGAAGGUUGAGUGUAGUUAAUAGCUGCAUUAUUUGACGUUAGCGACAGAAGAAGCACCGGCUAACUCCGUGCCAGCAGCCGCGGUAAUACGGAGGGUGCGAGCGUUAAUCGGAAUUACUGGGCGUAAAGCGCAUGCAGGUGGUUUGUUAAGUCAGAUGUGAAAGCCCGGGGCUCAACCUCGGAAUAGCAUUUGAAACUGGCAGACUAGAGUACUGUAGAGGGGGGUAGAAUUUCAGGUGUAGCGGUGAAAUGCGUAGAGAUCUGAAGGAAUACCGGUGGCGAAGGCGGCCCCCUGGACAGAUACUGACACUCAGAUGCGAAAGCGUGGGGAGCAAACAGGAUUAGAUACCCUGGUAGUCCACGCCGUAAACGAUGUCUACUUGGAGGUUGUGGCCUUGAGCCGUGGCUUUCGGAGCUAACGCGUUAAGUAGACCGCCUGGGGAGUACGGUCGCAAGAUUAAAACUCAAAUGAAUUGACGGGGGCCCGCACAAGCGGUGGAGCAUGUGGUUUAAUUCGAUGCAACGCGAAGAACCUUACCUACUCUUGACAUCCAGAGAACUUUCCAGAGAUGGAUUGGUGCCUUCGGGAACUCUGAGACAGGUGCUGCAUGGCUGUCGUCAGCUCGUGUUGUGAAAUGUUGGGUUAAGUCCCGCAACGAGCGCAACCCUUAUCCUUGUUUGCCAGCGAGUAAUGUCGGGAACUCCAGGGAGACUGCCGGUGAUAAACCGGAGGAAGGUGGGGACGACGUCAAGUCAUCAUGGCCCUUACGAGUAGGGCUACACACGUGCUACAAUGGCGCAUACAGAGGGCGGCCAACUUGCGAAAGUGAGCGAAUCCCAAAAAGUGCGUCGUAGUCCGGAUUGGAGUCUGCAACUCGACUCCAUGAAGUCGGAAUCGCUAGUAAUCGUGGAUCAGAAUGCCACGGUGAAUACGUUCCCGGGCCUUGUACACACCGCCCGUCACACCAUGGGAGUGGGCUGCA